GGCACUUUAAAAUAGUAUUUCAAUCCCCAAGACAUCCAUAGAAGUAGGUGGAGUUCUUGGAAGACAUAUUAAAGGGAAAAGGAUCAGAUGAGCAGCCUCCUUUUGUCUAGGAGAAAAGAAGAAAAAGUGAAAAUUGCACUGUGAUCUGUGGAAUGGAAGUUUGAUGGGAAAGUACAAGAGAGUUUAAAAGCAAGAAGGAAAAGUGAAUUUAUGAAACAGCUGGGAAUGGUAGCAAAGAGAGUGAAGGGUUAAGUGGAAUUUCUAGAGUUGUGAUUUAACCAACAGUAAAU
rnacentral:lncRNA from 1 species